UACGGAGGGUGCAAACGUUGCUCGGAAUCAUUGGGCGUAAAGCGCACGUAGGCGGUCCCAUAAGUCGGGUGUGAAAGCCCUCGGCUUAACCGAGGAAGUGCAUUCGAAACUGCGGGACUUGAGUACCGGAGAGGGUGACGGAAUUCCCGGUGUAGAGGUGAAAUUCGUAGAUAUCGGGAGGAACACCAGUGGCGAAGGCGGUCACCUGGACGGAUACUGACGCUGAGGCGCGAAAGCCAGGGGAGCAAACGGG
rnacentral:rRNA from 1 species